AGUGAACGCUGGCGGCAGGCCUAACACAUGCAAGUCGAGCGGCAGCGCGUCCGACCACCCUCGGGUGGUCGGAUGGCGGCGAGCGGCGGACGGGUGAGGAAUGCAUCGGAAUCUGCCUCGUUGUGGGGGAUAACGUAGGGAAACUUACGCUAAUACCGCAUACGACCUACGGGUGAAAGUGGGGGACCUUCGGGCCUCACGCGAUGAGAUGAGCCGAUGCCGGAUUAGCUAGUUGGCGGGGUAAAGGCCCACCAAGGCGACGAUCCGUAGCUGGUCUGAGAGGAUGAUCAGCCACACUGGAACUGAGACACGGUCCAGACUCCUACGGGAGGCAGUAGUGGGGAAUAUUGGACAAUGGGGGCAACCCUGAUCCAGCCAUGCCGCGUGUGUGAAGAAGGCCU
rnacentral:rRNA from 1 species